UAAUACGGAGGGGGCAAGCGUUGUUCGGAUUUAUUGGGCGUAGAGGGCACGUAGGUGUUUUUAUAAGUUUCUAGUGAAAUACUUUUGCUUAACAAAAGAACUGCUAGAGAAACUGUUAGAAUUGAGUAUGGAUAAGGAAAUCGGAACUUUCGGUGUAAGGGUGAAAUCUGUAGAUAUCGGAGGGAACACCAGUGGCGAAGGCGGCUUUCUGGUCCAAUACUGACACUGAGGUGCGAAAGCUAGGGGAGUGAACAGGAUUAGAUACCCUGGUAAUCCUAGCUGUAAACGAUGGACACUAAGCAUAUUCUUUAGGGAGUGUGCUAUAGCUAACGCGUUAAGUGUCCCGCCUGGGGAGUACGGUCGCAAGGCUG
rnacentral:rRNA from 1 species